GAUCCUGGGGCACAAGGGAGCCUCGGCUCUGGCCAUCACAGUAGCGCUAGCCCCAGGCCAAUGCCUGGGCUGCCCCUCUGAGGGCAGAGCCGAGUGCUGGCCACAGGGCCCGGGUGCGGCCUGGCUGCAGCUGAGCAGCCUUCCCCAGCGCCUCUGGCCCCUUCCCUUCCCACCAGCCCUCUCUUUGCAGGCCUCGGGGGGCUCGGCACGCUUGGCCUGCAGCCAGGGGGCCUGGUCCAGCCAGGCAUCUAUCCAGGAGGUAUCUACCCUGGUGGCAUCUACCCAGGGGCUGGGCUGGGAGCUGCCUACAAAGCUGCUGCCAAAGCCGGUGCUGGCGUGGGCGGCAUAGGCGGCGUGGGCGGACCCGCUGGUGUUGGGGUCUCAACAGGUGUGGUGGGGCCCCAGGCUGGGGUGCAGCCAGGAGUAGGCGCUGGAGGGAAACCGGGCAAGGUACCAGGUGUCGGCCUUCCAGGGGGGUUCCCCCGUGGCGUGCUCACAGG